GCACAUGGCCUGGGCCUUUGGGCUCCCCACUGUGAGGCCUCUCACGGUGGGACCCAGGCUUUGGGUAGCUGGCUCCAUGCUCUAGCAAAGCCUCACUUAGCAGUGGGGAGGUCCCAAGAAGAGAAGCGAGAUACCCAUAUAAAGCAAGCCUGCUUAGCCUUCCAGGGUCCUUCAAAUCUUACCAAAUGAAAGCCAGCUUGCUCCACCUACUGUCAAGCCAGCAUCUCAUUCUCCCCAUUCUUGUCUCUUAAACAACUACUCAAAAAAGGAGAGCCAUGAAAGUCACCAGCCUAGAAAAUUACAGUCGACUUCAUGAGCUUCAUUUGGAUUUCUCAUCAUGCAAUAGCAAAGUCACAGUUAUUCCUACUGAGAUCACAAUGAUGCUGCCAGAGCCUCCCCUGAGCUUGAGAGCCCUCCUCUUCUAAGCAGCAUUUGGAGCAUCCUCCAUUGUAUAGUGGGAAAGUGGAUAUCUGGCUUUCCUUCCUUCCUGAGGAAAUUAUGAACAAGAAGAACAAACUCCAAGCUAAAUACAAGUCACGACUUUUCCAGAAUCCAAAAGUAAA
rnacentral:lncRNA from 10 species